UACGUAGGGUGCGAGCGUUGUCCGGAAUUACUGGGCGUAAAGAGUUCGUAGGCGGUUUGUCGCGUCGUUUGUGAAAACCCAGGGCUCAACCCUGGGCCUGCAUUCGAUACGGGCAGACUAGAGUUCGGUAGGGGAGACGUGGAAUUCCUGGUGUAGCGGUGAAAUGCGCAGAUAUCAGGAGGAACACCGGUGGCGAAGGCGGUUCUCUGGGCCUUACCUGACGCUGAGGAGCGAAAGCGUGGGGAGCGAACAGG
rnacentral:rRNA from 1 species